rnacentral:rRNA from 1 species
GACGAACGCUGGCGGCGUGCUUAACACAUGCAAGUCGAACGGAAAGGCCCUGCUUUUGUGGGGUGCUCGAGUGGCGAACGGGUGAGUAACACGUGAGUAACCUGCCCUUGACUUUGGGAUAACUUCAGGAAACUGGGGCUAAUACCGGAUAGGAGCUCCUGCUGCAUGGUGGGGGUUGGAAAGUUUCGGCGGUUGGGGAUGGACUCGCGGCUUAUCAGCUUGUUGGUGGGGUAGUGGCUUACCAAGGCUUUGACGGGUAGCCGGCCUGAGAGGGUGACCGGCCACAUUGGGACUGAGAUACGGCCCAGACUCCUACGGGAGGCAGCAGUGGGAAAUAUUGCACAAUGGGCGGAAGCCUGAUGCAGCAACGCCGCGUGCGGGAUGACGGCCUUCGGGUUGUAAACCGCUUCCGCCUGUGACGAAGCGUGAGUGACGGUAAUGGGUAAAGAAGCACCGGCUAACUACGUG